rnacentral:rRNA from 1 species
GACGAACGCUGGCGGCGCGCCUAACACAUGCAAGUCGAACGGAGUCAAGAGGAGCUUGCUUUUCUUGACUUAGUGGCGAACGGGUGAGUAACGCGUGAGUAACCUGCCCUGGAGUGGGGGACAACAGUUGGAAACGACUGCUAAUACCGCAUAAGCCCACGGAUCUGCAUGGAUCUGCGGGAAAAGGAUUUAUUCGCUCUAGGAUGGACUCGCGUCCAAUUAGCUAGUUGGUGAGGUAACGGCCCACCAAGGCGACGAUUGGUAGCCGGACUGAGAGGUUGAACGGCCACAUUGGGACUGAGACACGGCCCAGACUCCUACGGGAGGCAGCAGUGGGGGAUAUUGCACAAUGGGGGAAACCCUGAUGCAGCGACGCCGCGUGGAGGAAGAAGGUUUUCGGAUUGUAAACUCCUGUCGUUAGGGACGAUAAUGGCGGUACCUAACAAGAAAGCACCGGCUAACUACGUG